rnacentral:rRNA from 1 species
GGUGAACGCUGGCGGCGUGCCUAACACAUGCAAGUCGAGCGGGUACCCGCAAGGGUACCAGCGGCGCACGGGUGAGUAACACGUGGGUAAUCUACCCCUCGGAGGGGGAUAACCGGGGGAAACUCCGGCUAAUACCCCAUACGAUCCAACAACACAAGUUGUUGGAUGAAAGGAGCGUUUGCUCCGCCGAGGGAUGAGCCCGCGGCCCAUCAGGUAGUUGGUGGGGUAAUGGCCCACCAAGCCUACGACGGGUAGCCGGCCUGAGAGGGUGGUCGGCCACAAGGGCACUGAGACACGGGCCCUACUCCUACGGGAGGCAGCAGUGGGGAAUCUUGGACAAUGGGCGAAAGCCUGAUCCAGCGACGCCGCGUGGGGGAUGAAGCCCUUCGGGGUGUAAACCCCUGUUGCGAGGGAGGAAUAAGGCCUGGAGGAAAUGCCAGGCCGAUGACUGUACCUCGCGAGGAAGCCCCGGCUGACUACGUGCCAGCAGCCGCGGUAAUACGUAGGGGGCGAGCGCUACCCGGAUUCACUGGGCGUAAAGCGGGUGUAGGCGGCUCGGUAAGUCGGGUGUGAAAUCCCACAGCUCAACUGUGGAAUUGCGCCCGAAACUGCUGAGCUUGGGGCCGGUAGAGGGAGACGGAACUGCCGGUGUAGGGGUGAAAUCCGUAGAUAUCGGCAGGAACGCCGGUGGGGAAGCCGGUCUCCUGGGCCGCGCCCGACGCUGAGACCCGAAAGCUAGGGGAGCAAACC